rnacentral:rRNA from 2 species
UGGGGGAUAUUGCACAAUGGGCGCAAGCCUGAUGCAGCGACGCCGCGUGAGUGAAGAAGUAUUUCGGUAUGUAAAGCUCUAUCGGCAGGGAAGAAAGGCCCGAAAGGGAGAUGACGGUACCUGACUAAGAAGCCCCGGCUAACUACGUGCCAGCAGCCGCGGUAAUACGUAGGGGGCAAGCGUUAUCCGGAUUUACUGGGUGUAAAGGGAGCGUAGACGGCGAGACAAGUCUGAUGUGAAAGCCCGCGGCUCAACUGCGGGACUGCAUUGGAAACUGUUUUGCUGGAGUAUCGGAGAGGUAAGCGGAAUUCCUGGUGUAGCGGUGAAAUGCGUAGAUAUCAGGAGGAACACCGGUGGCGAAGGCGGCUUACUGGACGACAACUGACGUUGAGGCUCGAAAGCGUGGGGAGCAAACAGG